rnacentral:rRNA from 1 species
UACGUAGGGUGCGAGCGUUAAUCGGAAUUACUGGGUGUAAAGUGUGCGCAGGCGGCUUCGCAAGUCGAGUGUGAAAUCCCCGAGCUUAACUUGGGAAUUGCGCUCGAAACUACGGAGCUGGAGUGUGGCAGAGGAAGGUGGAAUUCCACGUGUAGCGGUGAAAUGCGUAGAGAUGUGGAGGAACACCCGUGGCGAAGGCGGCUCUCUGGAACGCAACUGACGCUGAGACGCGAAAGCGUGGGGAGCAAACAGG